CCCCGCCCUUCCACGCGCACGCGCCCCCUGCUGCCCUAGUGCCUCAGGCCCCGCACGCAACUCCCGCGCGAAGUGUCGGACGGCAGAGCGCGCGGAAACGGCGGGCGGUUGCGCGGGCGGCGCGCUCGCCUCGCCCUCUCGUCCGGUGAGGGUGGUUUGGCCUCCUUCCCCUCGUCACAGGGUCAGCCGGACCCAGGUUGGCACUGGGGAGCCUGCAUGGGGAGAUUCUCUUCAUUACUUCCUCAAGUUCUGAUACCAGUUCCCAUUACCCUAAGAAGUUCCUUGAGCAUUUCUUGUUAUGUAGAUUACCAGCUUCUCAGAAUCUGCAGAUUCAACUGGAUGUAUCCAUGAGUUAAGAAUGCAUUUGGCUGCAUUUGACAGGAAAUACUACUACAGCAACUUGAACAAGACCAGGUUGAUUUUUCUCAUCUAAUUCAGAGUUCACAAAGAAGAGACCCUGUGAGCACAUAGAAGAAGGCAGUCACCUAGGAGCCAAAGGAAGAGAUCUCAGACUGAAACUUCUCUUGCCAACAUCUUCUCGCCUCCAGAACUGUUCCUUGUAUGAGUUCUAUUGCCUAAAAGAAGUGACUCACCUAUGAGGGAUAUGUGAUGAUAUCCAGAGAACUAUUUCCCCACUUCUUGGCUCAGGUCCCUGACAACGGAUGAGCUGCAGAAGACAAUGUGUUAGGAAAGUGAUUUAGCAAUUUAUUUCUCAUCUGAAACCCGAGAGGCAGUUUAUACUUGCUUAACAGACAAGCAUAUGUCUAAAUGGCUUUUUUGAGGUCUAAUCAUGAGUCAACAACACAAGAGGACUCAAAUCACUCUGUGCCUGAAGUAUCAAGCUUUUGUCAUAAAUGAUCUCAGGCCAUCCUUUCUUUCAAAGAAUAUUAUCUCUUAUUUCCAGAAUGAAUAGAUCAAAAUAAUUGACUCCAAAGUACCCUCUUGAUGCAAUGUACCAUAGAAAUGGCCGUAUAACGAAGCAAAUUGAAAACA